rnacentral:misc_RNA from 1 species
GAUGAAGAACGCAGCGAAAUGCGAUAAGUAGUGUGAAUUGCAGAAUUCAGUGAAUCAUCGAAUCUUUGAACGCACAUUGCGCCUCCUGGCAUUCCGGGAGGCAUGCCUGUUCGAGCGUCAUCAAACCCCAUCGUGCAAAUGAAUUAUUUUUUUUGCGCGGAAGUGACGAUUGAGCGAGAAUAACAAAUCCUCUCGCACCUCGUCGAAAUGAUUGCGGGCGGAAUUUGGGAUCGGGUUCCUCGGCGUAGUGUAUCAAUGCAUAUUUAUGCAACUUGCCGCGGAGUUGAGCCUGACCCACGCGUUCUCGCCGUACAAACACCUCAUUACCUUACAAGUUUUUGACCUCGGAUCAGGUAGGGAUACCCGCUGAACUUAAGCAUAUCAAUAAGCGGAGGA